rnacentral:lncRNA from 10 species
GUUUCACCAUGUUGGCCAGGAUGGUCUCGAUCUCCUGACCUUGUGAUCUGCCCACCUCGGCCUCCCAAAGUGCUGGAUUACAGGCAUGAGCCACUAGCGUUGCUAUCAAAUCUUAAAAUGCAUAAAAGACCAAGAGAUGAAAUUUCUUCCACAUAACUGGAAUGGAGAAGGGCACACCAAAGUCACGGUUCAUCUGAAUUAAUGAGAAGCCUAAAUUAUAGGAUCCUACAAGUCUACCAGCAGCAGCUAGGGGCACUGGGCAGAUCAGGGUGACCUGCAAUGGCCCCAUCAAUUGCACUUGAAUGCGGGUGGGCCCCAGGUCUGCAUUCCUCUCCUGCACCCCUCAUUUGCAUGCAUGGCUCACAGAGUGAAGGAAACUGCUGCAGGUCACUCCCUAAUUAUCACAGGUUCUAAGUCAGGAGAAUGUUAAUGACUGUAUAGGUCUUCACGGUGCCUAGGUGUUUUCCCUUCUGUUUGGUCUCAAUCUAAUCAAUCUUAAAAGUGUUAUCAGGUUACCCUAUUACAGAUAUCAGUCAUUUUGUUCACUGUUUUAUUAGUUAGGAGUCUUUGUGUGCAGGCAACAGAAACAAACUUUUAGCUUAGAAUGAGAGUUUGUUGUAAGGACUUGGGGUGUCUCAUGGAACCAAGGAAUAGGAAUGCAGGGGAACUACAGGAAGAAACUGGAACCGGGGCUCUGCUUCCCAUGCACAUUUCUCUCUGUACGUGGCUCUCUCUCUUUUUCUUUUUCUCGUGCCCUUUCUUUCUUUCUCUCCUCUUUCCUGUCCUCUAUCUGUUAUCUAUCAUCUCUCAAUCCAUCCAUCUAUCCAUCUCUCUUUCUGUCUCUCUCCAUCUAUCCAUCUAAUGUCCUAUUUUGUUACUCCAUAUAACAGGAUCUGGCAGCCUCUUAAUUCCCAAUUGUUUGUCUAUUACAGUUCUAACCCUUCAAUGAUAAAGACUGAAUUCCAAAUCAAAGAGUGAGAGGACGAUAGCCCAGCUUCGAGAAGGUGUCUGUCCCUGACCUACUCAGCCAUGGCCAACCUGUGGGAUGACUGCUACGGAGAUGGGUGUCAGAGGCCUGUCCCUCAGAUGGGGAAGGACCUCACUUUCUUUUGGUGAAAAUUAAAUGAAGCAUCAUUUGGAUGGCAGACUAAGUACUAGAGGAAGACAGCAGCCAUUUGGAGAACUGAGCGACAUCAGCAACAAAUAGGAGCAAAAGCAAAUUAAAUCCUUCAUUUUAAAAAUGUAAUGAUAUAAUUAAAACAAGGAACCAUAACCAAUUGUUAAUAGAUGCCAGAAAUAGAUAUUUCACUCAGAGCAAUAUUUUUUCCCCAAAACAAACAAAGCCUUGGCUGGCAACAGUAGCAUAUUCCUUUUCUAUCUAGACCAGUGGUUUCUGGCCAGCCUGGCCAUCCUUUUGCCAGAUUUCCGUUUCUUCUGCGACAGAAGCCCCUGGGAUGGCAGUGCUUCCACACUCAGAGCUGAGCUCACCGUAAAGCUGUUCAUCUCCAGGAGUCUGGGAUCCAAAUUGCUUCCUGUAACCACCAACAGCUCUACCAGAAAUGACCUGGAAGCCUUUUGAUUCUCUGAGUCCUGGAAAGCCCAGUGACCCUGUUGCCUCCCAUCCUUGUCCACGCCUUCUGCAGAUGUUCAUCCUGAAGCCCUUUCCCUCGGGGUGUGACCUGCGCUUCCCAGGCUAUUGACUUCCAGUCAUCUAGAGUGUGUAUCCCUCGGAUCCGUGACCCACACUCCCAUGCAAUGGUGUUCCAGGCAUCUGGAGUGCGUAUUCCGCUCCAUCUUCAGGUAUAAAUGGAGACCUAGACAAGGGCCACACCACUGUCUGCUCCCCUGAAGAUUCCUGACCCCAUCUCAUGGUCAAUUCUUGCAGUGAGAGCAGGAGUUUAUUACCUUUGCCAUUAAGGAGCAAAUGUUUCUACCACUCCCUCUAAACCCCAUCUUAUCUGGAGUACAGAAUCUAUAUACUUUGUAAUGCAUCAUUUCAGCCUCGGCUUUUUUAACUCUCAAAGCUGCUCCUUUUCUUGUUUUUAUAUAUCAAACCUUCUUUUAAACAAUUAAAAAUUGUAAGACAAGAAUAGCCUUCACACUGAAUAGAAGAAGAGGUGAAGAAGUAUAGUCACUUGACAAGCCGCCAUCAGCACUUCACACAAUAGAGGUGACACAAGACCACAGGAGGUAAUAUCAAUACACAAGAACUCUUCUGAAGAAUUUGCAGAUGGAACCACUUACAAUUCCUGGGAAUAAAAGGGUUGUGUCAUGAAGCUUGGUGUCAGUGUGUUGUCAGGGCUAAGUCAAUGGACACCAACCCAAAAAAUCCUCAUAGUGUAUUUGCUGUUAAAUAGGUUGUUCAUUGGCAGGGAAAAUAAUGAGAACUUGGGGUGGGGACAUAGCCCAUUGGUCUGGCUGUCCUUGGAGGCAAGUGUAAUAAUGGGAGUGAUUUCUCUGGGUGGCACCUCCCAGAGUGGGCUGCGUUG